CGCACCUUGCGCCCCUUGGUAUUCCGAGGGGCAUGCCUGUUUGAGUGUCUUGAAAUCAUCAAACCGAACCGGUCUUUGUUGCCGGCGCGGUUUGGACUUGGGGGUUUUUGCUGCCUUCUGGCGGCUCCCCUUAAAUGAAUCGGUCGGGCUUUCGUGUGGCUUGUCCCUUGGCGUUGUAUUACCCUCGUCUUGGACGGCUCGCGAUUCAAUGGCCCUUCUUCGACCUGCCUCUGGAGUGGCGGUCUUCAACUUUUGUGAUCUGACCUCAAAUCAGGUAGGACUACCCGCUGAACUUAA
rnacentral:misc_RNA from 1 species